CGGCGUCGCGCGCGGGGGCGGGCGGCGCUCAGAUCGCCGGAAUCGGAUCGAGGCCGAAACGGUUCGGGCCGUUGGUGCCGC
rnacentral:tRNA from 1 species